rnacentral:rRNA from 1 species
UACGUAGGGUGCAAGCGUUGUCCGGAAUUAUUGGGCGUAAAGAGCUCGUAGGCGGUUUGUCGCGUCGAAUGUGAAAACCCGGGGCUCAACCCCGGGCCUGCAUUCGAUACGGGCAGACUAGAGUUCGGUAGGGGAGUCUGGAAUUCCUGGUGUAGCGGUGAAAUGCGCAGAUAUCAGGAAGAACACCCGUGGCGAAGGCGGCUCCUCUGGAACGCAACUGACGCUGAGACGCGAAAGCGUGGGGAGCAAACAGG